UUUUGUCAGGUGGACCUGACUUGCUCUGUCUUCUCCAAAUACCUGUACUGUGUAUAUACCAAAGGAGCAAUCAGAACAGCAGAACUAGCAUAAACCUGUUUCAGCUGCUUGAUGUUAAUGCCUGAAGGGAAGUGAGAUGCACAGUAUGUGUGCGUGUGGAACUGGUGACAGUGAAUACAGGCAGGCUUUCAGAGGUGCAAAGCACAGAGGCAUUGUAUGUUCCAGUGGUUCAGUAGAAGCAAAGACUGAUUCUAAAUACACAAAGAAUUAGAUGUUGAGUUUCGGUGGGAAUAAAUAGGAGACAUUACAUUUGGAGCUGCCUUCAUAUUAAAAAUCCUCAGGAAACCUAGAUGUUUACAGCCUUAAACUUUGUUUGACCAAAAAUGGGAAUGACUCCAUCUAUAACCAACUCUGAAGUGUUCAAGAUUUAAGUCUUUGUGGCUUCUGCAAGUCAAACAAAUUCCAUGAGAAGUCUUGUCCUCUGAGUCUGAUGUGAUUUUUCUCUACAAUUUUUUCCACUUUGUCUUUUUCUCACCCUGUCCUCUAUUGUCAAGUAGUUCCACUUGCACUUGUGUCUAUGUGGCAAACAUAAAACUUCUGGAGUCCUUAUGACAAUGUGUAUUAAAACAAGUCCGUGUGGGAUUUAGUAAUGAAAAACAUUGUUAUUAAUGAUGUAAAUUAUAAACUCCCAUUGUGUACCACUGCCAGCUACUGAAGACUGUCCACACACAAUUGGGUACCUUCCAAACCUAUUACUAUGGAAAUGUCAUACUGCUUUAAUAGACUGUUUAGGAAGAAGAAAUAUUUUACUUAUGAAUCCAAAUCUCCAUUCUCCAGUAUUCCCAAAUGCAAAAACUUACUUCAGUUUCUUGGUACUCCUACAUCUUCUCUAAUUUUUGUCUUUUGUGCCUGGAAUGUUCUACUGUUUUUGUAUGUCAGGUCUUCACUCUUUCUGACAGGAUACUUCUUGAGCCCCAGACAUGAUAUGGAAUUAAUACAAUGUGCAUCAGAUGUGUAAUCUCUUUGUUCUGAGUCUUUCUGUAUAGUUUGUUUUUCUGUAGGCUGGUCAUGUGAACAACUCUGUUACAGACAGCAAAGUGAACCUAUGUAGGUAUGUACUCUCUCACACAAGCCAGAAUGCAGAUGGGACUUGCUCCACAGGCAAGUUUUGUUGGUGUUAAACAAAUAAACUCCAUGCUUCACAUUUUGAAUUUCUAAAAAUUCUGUCUCUACCUGAUUUAACAUUUAUUGAUUGAAUGUACUGGUUUAUUUAAGGACAGGCUGUAUUUUAAAAUGGGCUUAAUCUGAAUCCUUGAUAAUUGUAAGUAUAGAUUCUCUUCAUAAUAGAAACACAUUAGAUUUUUCUAUUCCCUGCUGCGCAUGUAUAGCUUUCAUUCUGAGAUAUAAAUAAAUGUACUAUGCAGGAAAAACUGUUCCUAUUGAUGGGCAAGAAUAAAUGCCAUUACUUGAAAAAGAAUAUUAUUGCCUUUUUUUUUUUUCCCCUCAAAUAGUAUAAUACUUUACCUUACUUCUCCUUGUACUUGAUUUAUUUGUCUUCAACAGCAAUUCUCUGUUCUUCUGAGGGACUAUGGUAGUCUAACUUGACUUCUUCUUUUCCUUUCUUUUAAUGUUACUGUAUCAUCUCUCUAUGAUGAA